rnacentral:rRNA from 1 species
UACGGAGGGAGCUAGCGUUGUUCGGAAUUACUGGGCGUAAAGCGCGCGUAGGCGGCUUUGUAAGUUAGAGGUGAAAGCCCGGGGCUCAACCCCGGAACUGCCUUUAAGACUGCAUCGCUUGAAUCCGGGAGAGGUGAGUGGAAUUCCGAGUGUAGAGGUGAAAUUCGUAGAUAUUCGGAGGAACACCGAUGGCGAAGGCAAUCCCCUGGACCUGUACUGACGCUCAUGCACGAAAGCGUGGGGAGCAAACAGG